GCCGCUCCUGUUCAAAAUACAUUGACCCUCGUCAUCUACACCCUCUCUCUCUCCCAAAUCCUCUCACUGCGAAUCUGCGAUGGCCGUUGCGCAGCGUCUCACCGCGCUGGAGCUCCACCAUUGCUGCUGCCCAACACCUCGUCAUACGUCGCGCCUAGACUUGAGCUCGCUGCGCGCUGGGAGCCCCGCCGAGUUCGCUGUUGAGCACCGCCGCGGAAGACUCUUCCUGCCGUGCGUCGUCGCAAGGUAAGACUUCGUCGUCUUCAACCCCCGCGGACUCCUAGCUCCCUGCGAAUCCCGACAUAGCGGCCUGCUCCCUCCCGUGGAUGCGUGCGUCCUGGCCAGAGGCCGAGCGACACAGCGCCCCGGUGGCUCCCUUCCCCUGCGUGGAGCUCGCCUGAAGAUCCCCUGAACCUGCCCCUUGCCAGCCCUGCGCUCAGCCGCAGCCAGCGCUGCUAGUGUGCCCACCUGGCUGGACGAAGCCCCGUUGCGCGAGCUCCGCCCGACCCUGGCGAGCGCUCUCUGGCCACCAGAUUUGCCCAGCCCGUGCUCGCCCUGCCCGGUGAGCUAGCCCCUACGCCGCGUUGCCCUUCCUUGCUCAUUCCUGCUCCCCUCCGGUGAGACGCCGCGGCAGCCGACGAACGGCAUUCUUCUCUAUGUGCGUAUAGGUUGCAGAAGAAAGAAAAACUGACCACGUUCAAACGCCGAGCAAAUAGGCUGGAAAAGAGAACUGCAUGGGCCCCACGAUCCCAUCACCAUACGUGCACUAUGCAUUAGAAAAAAAAACCAUCUCGUCAUGUGUCAGUGUCCCAUAGGCCUAGCUGUGAACGAUUUUCAGCAGCCAUGCUCUUUGUAGUCUGUCGCGUGGCUUUGUUUCGGGCCAAUAGAAAUGUGCCACGUCGUCGCAAUUCCACAGGCUAUUAGAUAGACGAUAUAUGUUGGGUCGCAGACCCGUUUCGACACGUUUCAGUCGCGUUAGCUUUAUAAUAAUGUCGAUUACGUGUUAGUAGCAUUAUUUUGCCACGACCCGUGUUAUAAUUAAUUAAUUAAUUGUUUAUUUGAUAGUCACUAAAAUGGCUUUCCAAUUAAAACUAACUUAUAGUUUUUUUACUUGCGCUUUAUAAAUACAUGUUAUUGUGAUUAAUGCUAACUCAAAUAUUCUUAAUUAGUACUCGCUUAGUUUGUGCGUGAUAUUUGGUAGCGAUCCUCGCAUGACGUGCUUGUUGUCGUGCUGUUCGAGCACGGCGUUCGCGCGCUAGCGCGUGCGUUGUUUCGUGUGCCGGCCACACGUUGUUUCACGCACGUCGUCGCGUGUCGUUCGUGUCGCACGUGCUGUUCGCGCGCGUAGUCACGUUGACUCGCGCGUGUCGCGCACUGUCGUGUACGUUGUUUCACACGUCAUCCACGCACUGUUUUGCAUAGUGUCGCGCGUCCUCACACGUCAUUCUCGUGUGCCGCGCAUGCCAUUUUCACGUGUGUCGCGCGGCGUCUGCGCGUGAUAAUAAAUUGUUUUCGCUUAUAAACACUCAUGUUAAUAACGUUAAUUCGUCUGGUCACAUAUUUUAGACAAUUAACUUAAGGUUUGCUCGACUAAUAUUUAUUAGAUUAAUAUUCUAAUUAAUACUUUCUCAGUGUAAACACGCUAACCCCUCGACCGUAGCUUCGACUAUCGCGGUUCUUUUCCUCGCAUAACUGUAGAAGCGCUCUCUAUUUUAUAUUGCUCGCUCUAUAAUAUUUAUUGUAUGGUGUAAUGUUCUUAUGCAAGUAUAUGUUUGCUUGUGCCUGUUUGUAUUCGUUGCGUGUCGCAAAUAGACUGCGAUCCAUUUCCGAGCUUCGAGGAAUCAACAGUCAAGCUUCGGCGACCAAGAGAUCGAACUCUUCGAGUUCUACGAGGCUGAAGAUCCUGAGCAUCUGUUUGGUGAAGGCAAGUGUCCUCUGACCUAUUAUGUCCCAUUCACUUAUAAUUUAUUGUCCCGCAUUACUCAAUUGAAACCUAAGGAUUGACUAGCUUUCUAUUUAUCAUAUCCUUGUUUACCUUUGGGUUAUCAUGGUUAACAUUCUGCUAUUGCUUUAACUUAAUCAAUGAACAUGAUGAGACUAUUUAUGAUACUGUUAUCCUUAUGAUGUUGAUGAUCUUGUGAUACUCUAGGGGGCUCAGGUUGUUUCCUGAGUACCUCUCCGUAAGGACCUGUUCGUUGAGAGACCACCCGGGAUAACAGUGCAACCAUGAGGGUGGAAUGGGGUGCCCUUAGCUAAUUAAUUAGAGGAACUAGAAGUGUAGUUGCUUCGCCGUCGUGCCGUCAAUGGGGUCCAGGCACAGUGCUUGCUCUGCCGAGGUUCUUUCGUUUUGCUUUUUAGUCGCCCUCCUGCGGGGAGAGGUACUGUGUUUAUCAAACUGGAGAAACCUAACGGGCAGCUAUGACCUCUAGGGAAUCUUUGUAAAGGCUUCGUAGUCAAUCCCUGGCCAUUCACCUUAGGAGUGAAUAAGGGUCUUGCAAGCCCGGGCUAGAGAGGGAAUCACGGCUCAUGGGUAAAGUGUGCGACCUCUGCAGAGGGUAGUGAAACUGCUAUAUCAGCCGUGCUCACGGUUAAGAGCAGCCUUGGGAUCCUCUUUGAUUAGAGAUACAAAUGGUUCGAGUUACAAUGGUUCUAUUUAUGAUUUUGGUUCGAUGAUGAUAAUGAUGUUCCUCGAUGAGGAAAUGGUUCACGGGUUUGUUAUUACUAAAAUUUGGCUUCCACUGAUAAUAAAAUACCUGACCAAGUAAAAGCAACUGCUUGAGCUUAACCCCACAUAAAGCUAGUCCACCUCAGCCAAACGGGACAUUUGCUGAGUAUGUUGAUGUGUACUCACCCUUGCUUUCACAAAACACCAGGUUACCUUUGGUGCAAUCUAUGCUUAGGUAAAGAAGAAGGCGUCGAGGCGGAUCUCCAGGAGUUCCGGGGCUUCGAUGAGUUCGAGGAUUAGGCUAGCGACUACCCCCAGUCAGCUGCCUGUGGUGGGUUUAUUUACGUUGGCUACGUUUCUAUUCUGGGUACUUUGAUUAUAUUAUGUAAAUGACUCUAGUCUUUUAUAUUAUUACUUACUCUUUAUUGUAUUCGAAGCAUUGUGCUAUGAUGAGUCAUUUAUGUAAUCGCUGUGUACGUGAAUUUCUGAUCCUGGCACGUACAUGGUUCACUGAAUUUGGGGGUAUAAAAUUUCUUUUCUAAUAUUCACCAAAUUCAGGUGUUACCCUCUCUUUUCCUUCCUUUUCUUAUCUUUCUUUCUAAAUGAUGAAGAGUUAUUUUAUAUAUAGGUGUAAUCCUAAUAAACUAAAUUUCUAUAAGAACUUUUGCAUUCAUGCCGAUGCAAAGGGUUUAUGAGUGCAAAAUGUUAUCGUAACAGGUUAAAGUAUCUCGAGGAUGUUUCCAAGAGUUUUUCAAAUCUUUGGAACGUCUCUUCGAGUAUUAAAUAUGAAUUUUAGUUUUUCUAAUAUUAAUUAAAUACCUAAAAUUUAGUAUUUGAGAAAAACUAUAAAAUUUUGGAAACUCGAAAAUAUUUGUGUGUUGUAUUGCAUGCUGAAACACAUUUUCUUGGUUGCUAAAAAAUAGUCUUGGUGGUGUUUUCGUUCAAAAAAAAGGAAAUAUUAAAUUUGGAUGACCUAAUAUAAAUAAAUAAAUACAUUCAUAUAUACAUAUAUACAUAUAUAUAUACCUAUUUAUAUUUAUGUAUAAGGAAUGAAAAAACACAUUCUUUUCCCACCCGUCCCGGUACCGGGGCUGGCCCAGCAAGAGGCUUGCUCGCCGUGCCUUGUCCCUACAGACUGGGACCCACGCGUUAGAUGUUUUUUUUCCUUCCUCACAACUGCCUCAGCCCCGCCUGAACCGCCCCACGUCGCAGCUCGCUCGCUAAACCGUCCGCCCAAGCUGCUCCUGUUCAAAAUACAUUGACCCUCGUCAUCUACACCCUCUCUCUCUCCCAAAUCCUCUCACUGCGAAUCUGCGAUGGCCAUUGCGCAGCGUCUCACCGCGCUGGAGCUCCACCAUUGCUGCUGCCCAACACCUCGUCAUACGUCGCGCCUAGACUUGAGCUCGCUGCGCGCUGGGAGCCCCGCCGAGUUCGCUGUUGAGCACCGCCGCGGAAGACUCUUCCUGCCGUGCGUCGUCGCAAGGUAAGACUUCGUCGUCUUCAACCCCCUCGGACUCCUAGCUCCCUGCGAAUCCCGACAUAGCGGCCUGCUCCCUCCCGUGGAUGCGUGCGUCCUGGCCAGAGGCCGAGCGACA
rnacentral:lncRNA from 1 species